UUAAGUGAAUAAGGGCGCACGGUGGAUGCCUUGGCACUAGGAGCCGAUGAAGGACGGGACUAACACCGAUAUGCUUUGGGGAGCUGUAAGUAAGCUAUGAUCCAGAGAUUUCCGAAUGGGGGAACCCAAUAUCUUUUAUAGGAUAUUACUUUUCAGUGAAUACAUAGCUGAUUAGAGGUAGACGCAGAGAACUGAAACAUCUUAGUACCUGCAGGAAGAGAAAGAAAAUUCGAUUCCCUGAGUAGCGGCGAGCGAAACGGGAAGAGCCCAAACCAACAAGCUUGCUUGUUGGGGUUGUAGGACUCCGAUAUGGUAGUCUGUUAGUAUAGUUGAAGGAUUUGGAAAAUUCCGCUAAAGAGGGUGAAAGCCCCGUAGACGAAAUGCUGACAACACCUAGGAGGAUCCUGAGUACGGCGGAACACGAGAAAUUCCGUCGGAAUCCGCGGGGACCAUCCCGCAAGGCUAAAUACUCCCUAGUGACCGAUAGUGAACCAGUACCGUGAGGGAAAGGUGAAAAGCACCCCGGAAGGGGAGUGAAAUAGAUCCUGAAACCGUGUGCCUACAACAAGUCAAAGCUCGUUAAUGAGUGAUGGCGUGCCUUUUGUAGAAUGAACCGGCGAGUUACGAUUGCAUGCGAGGUUAAGUCGAAGAGACGGAGCCGCAGCGAAAGCGAGUCUGAAUAGGGCGAAUGAGUAUGUAGUCGUAGACCCGAAACCAUGUGAUCUACCCAUGUCCAGGUUGAAGGUGCGGUAAAACGCACUGGAGGACCGAACCCACGUACGUUGAAAAGUGCGGGGAUGAGGUGUGGGUAGCGGAGAAAUUCCAAACGAACUUGGAGAUAGCUGGUUCUCUCCGAAAUAGCUUUAGGGCUAGCCUCGGAAUUGAGAAUGAUGGAGGUAGAGCACUGUUUGGACUAGGGGCCCAUCUCGGGUUACCGAAUUCAGAUAAACUCCGAAUGCCAUUCAUUUAUAUCCGGGAGUCAGACUGCGAGUGAUAAGAUCCGUAGUCGAAAGGGAAACAGCCCAGACCACCAGCUAAGGUCCCAAAAUAUAUGUUAAGUGGAAAAGGAUGUGGGGUUGCACAGACAACUAGGAUGUUGGCUUAGAAGCAGCCACCAUUUAAAGAGUGCGUAAUAGCUCACUAGUCGAGUGACCCUGCGCCGAAAAUGUACCGGGGCUAAACAUAUUACCGAAGCUGUGGACUACACCAUUAGGUGUAGUGGUAGGAGAGCGUUCUAAGGGCGUUGAAGGUCGAUCGUGAGGACGGCUGGAGCGCUUAGAAGUGAGAAUGCCGGUAUGAGUAGCGAAAGACAGGUGAGAAUCCUGUCCACCGUAUGACUAAGGUUUCCUGGGGAAGGCUCGUCCGCCCAGGGUUAGUCGGGACCUAAGCCGAGGCCGAUAGGCGUAGGCGAUGGACAACAGGUUGAUAUUCCUGUACCAGUUGUUUUUGUUUGAGCAAUGGAGGGACGCAGUAGGCUAAGGAAUGCAUGCGAUUGGAAGUGCAUGUCCAAGCAAUGAGUCUUGAGUAGAGUUAAAUGCUUUACUCUCUAAGGACAAGUUGUGACGGGGAGCGAAAUAAUAGUAGCGAAGUUCCUGAUGUCACACUGCCAAGAAAAGCUUCUAGUGAGAAAACAACUGCCCGUACCGUAAACCGACACAGGUAGUCGAGGAGAGUAUCCUAAGGUGAGCGAGCGAACUCUCGUUAAGGAACUCGGCAAAAUGACCCCGUAACUUCGGGAGAAGGGGUGCUGACUUCGGUCAGCCGCAGUGAAUAGGCCCAAGCGACUGUUUAUCAAAAACACAGGUCUCUGCAAAAUCGUAAGAUGAAGUAUAGGGGCUGACGCCUGCCCGGUGCUGGAAGGUUAAGAGGAUGGGUUAGCUUCGGCGAAGCUCAGAAUUGAAGCCCCAGUAAACGGCGGCCGUAACUAUAACGGUCCUAAGGUAGCGAAAUUCCUUGUCGGGUAAGUUCCG
rnacentral:rRNA from 1 species